UACAGAGGUCUCAAGCGUUGUUCGGAUUCAUUGGGCGUAAAGGGUGUGUAGGUGGCGCCGUAAGUCGGGUGUGAAAUUUCGGAGCUUAACUCCGAAACUGCAUUCGAUACUGCGGUGCUUGAGGACUGGAGAGGAGACUGGAAUUCAUGGUGUAGCAGUGAAAUGCGUAGAGAUCAUGAGGAAGACCAGUGGCGAAGGCGGCUCACUGGCUCGGUACUGACGCUGAGGUGCGAAAGCGUGGGGAGCAAACAGG
rnacentral:rRNA from 1 species